rnacentral:rRNA from 1 species
CAGCAGGCGCGCAACUUACCCUAAUCUCGAUUCGAGGAGGUAGUGACAAGAAAUACCGAUGCGGGACCCUACGGGUGCCGCGUUCGGAAUGAGUACGAUUCGAACCACCUAACGAGGAACGAUCGGAGGGCAAGUCUGGUGCCAGCAGCCGCGGUAAUUCCAGCUCCAAUAGCGUACGUUAAAGUUGCUGCAGUUAAAAAGCUCGUAGUUGAACGUUCGGGUUCCGCGGGACGGGGCCGCCCCGCGAGGGACGGCGCCGCCCCGGGGCUCGUGAUAUCUUAUCUCGCCGCCCGUCGCGAGGCGGACGGAGGGAUGGAUGAGGUUACCUGGAAAAAAUCGGGGCGAUCUAGGCGGCGAACCUCGCCAACGAACGAUCGGACAUGGGGAUAACGGAAGAGGGCGUCGGGCUCGGACUUCGUCGGUUCCUCGGGCCGAGGCACGUACGGUGAAUAGGGAGUCGGGGCCGCCGUACCGGGCGUGAGAGGUGAAAUUCUAGGAUCGACCCGAGACCGAACUGCCGCGAAA